GGGGGAGAUUUCAGAGGCUGUGACUCCUCUGAAGGAGCUGGCCUGAAGGUGACCAUGGAGGUGACCACAAUAAGGAGCCAGUUCUGUUUAUUGAUGGUCAGGGUGAUGUUGAUGUGCUGAGCCCUAUGGGGGUAGUGGCCUCUCUGGAGAGAGGGGACACUAGCUAAGGAGAAUUAUGAAGGAGGGACUUGAAAUACCAACUGUCUCUGCUUUUAGUUAUUUUUUUAAUGUCUUUAGACUCUCUUUUAGGGGGAUUAUGCAGAUUUCCAAGCCCAAAUUUUGCCUUUUGGGAAAAAAAGUGUCCUAAUUUUUGUUUCUUUGGAUGCUAACAUGCCAAGCUGUGGUCCUUGAGGAAGAUGUGACCCCCUGUCACAGCAGCUUCUUUAGCUCUCCUUCUUCCUUUCCCCAAAAUCAUGUGUUUGAGCACUGCAGAACAUGUCAUCAGCACUAGAGCAGCCAGUUGCUUUAUUCCAGUUGAUGCCAUCAUUUCAUAAAUUAGAUCAAAAGACAACACUGGGUCAUUCUGUCCUGACUGAAGUGAUUAAGUAGAUCUGUGCUAUUAACUGCAGUUAUCUUCUGAAAUGUCAGACUUCCUGCCAAGAUCUUGCAUAGUUUUAAAUAAGCCUCUGCUGGCUGAGGAUUCAAACUCCAGAUUGGAGGCAAUAAUUUGUAACUCCAAAGUGAAAAUCUGUGGAUCAAACUGCCCCCUUGGACACCAGAUCCUUCAUCUUGCUGCCCCUUGGUGCUGUAGUUCUGCACAGAAAACUCCUGUGCCUAGCAGUUCAGUAUCAUCUUUAUGGUUUCUUUCCAGCUGCAAUAUCACACAGCUGACAGUUGUUUAUUGAGAGGCAGCAGUGGGGAGAGAGAAGUUCUCAGGAAAUUAAAUAUUCUUUUAAAAUGGCAAAUCUUUUUCUGCAUAUUCACUCGGCUAUUUCAGUGGCUCCCCUAAACAUCUGGCAAGUAUUUUGGCUGUGUCUGAGAGAUUUUGGAGAAGGAAGGAACCUUGGCACUGGCUUUAAAUGCAGUGAGACACAACGGAGAGGAGAAGAAAUCGCUGCUCUAAGGAGGGAGAGCAUUUGCCGCAUUGCAAAAUGGCCUACGGAGCUUUUCCUGCAGGCUGAGGUGCCACUUCUUUAUGCUAUUUUUGUUCCUUCCAAGAAUGUGAUGAAUGAUUUGGAGAUCAGAAGAAAUGAAGAACAGAAGAAAUCAAGAACUGGCACAGUGCUGCCUUCAUUUUCACCUCCUGAGCUAUGUAUGACAUGGGAGUGAAGCAUGGCUACAGAAACAUUUCUGGCCUAAAUUGAGAACACUUACAGAAUCCUGGAUUUCAGUUAAUUGUGCAAAUCCUGUGGGUAUGUCAGAUUCCAAGCAAUGAACUAUCUGUG
rnacentral:lncRNA from 1 species